rnacentral:rRNA from 1 species
CAGGCCUAACACAUGCAAGUCGAGCGGGCAUCUUCGGGUGUCAGCGGCGGACGGGUGAGUAACGCGUGGGAACGUGCCUUCUGGUUCGGAAUAACUCAGGGAAACUUGAGCUAAUACCGGAUACGCCCUUUUGGGGAAAGGUUUACUGCCGGAAGAUCGGCCCGCGUCUGAUUAGCUAGUUGGUGAGGUAACGGCUCACCAAGGCGACGAUCAGUAGCUGGUCUGAGAGGAUGAUCAGCCACAUUGGGACUGAGACACGGCCCAAACUCCUACGGGAGGCAGCAGUGGGGAAUAUUGGACAAUGGGCGCAAGCCUGAUCCAGCCAUGCCGCGUGAGUGAUGACGGCCCUAGGGUUGUAAAGCUCUUUUACCUGGGAAGAUAAUGACGGUAUCAGGAGAAUAAGCCCCGGCUAACUUCGUGCCAGCAGCCGCGGUAAU